rnacentral:tRNA from 1 species
GUCCCCAUAGCUCAGCGGUAGAGCAGCGGAUUCUUAAUCCGCGGGUCGCAGGUUCGAAUCCUGCUGGGGACACCG